CCCUAAAUCUCUCCUCUUUCCCACUCUCCACUCUCUUUUUCCACUUCUACAUCCCACCCUCACACGCCGUCGUCCUCUAAUCCCCUGACGUCGCCGGACAGCACCCUCGCGGUGGCCUUCCUCUUCGUGCUUCCCUCUUCUCGGCGCGGCCCUUUCUCUCCUUCUCUUCCUCAUCGCGAUUCCCUCUCCUCGGCGCCGCCUUUCCUCCACGCACAGAAGCCGCCCUUCCUCCACGCACAGAAGCCGCC
rnacentral:lncRNA from 1 species